GUAAGGAAUAUUGCUCAAUGGCCGAAAGGCUGAAGCAGCAACGCCGCGUGAGGGAUGAAGGGCUUAUGCUUGUAAACCUCUGUAGAAAGGGAGAAAUGUGGCGCUAUAGCGCCAAGUGAUAGUACCUUUAAAGUAAGCCCCGGCUAACUACGUGCCAGCAGCCGCGGUAAUACGUAGGGGGCAAGCGUUGUCCGGAUUUACUGGGUGUAAAGGGUGCUCAGGCGGUUAUGUUAGUCAGGGGUGAAAUCUCAGAGCUUAACUCUGAAACUGCCCUUGAUACUGCAUAGCUUGAGAACGGAAGAGGCCGAUGGAAUUCCUGGUGUAGCAGUGAAAUGCGUAGAUAUCAGGAAGAACACCAGUGGCGAAGGCGGUCGGCUGGUCCGUUUCUGACGCUAAAGCACGAAAGCGUGGGUAGCAAACAGGAUUAGAAACCCGUGUAGUCC
rnacentral:rRNA from 1 species